GACGAACGCUGGCGGCGUGCCUAAUACAUGCAAGUAGAACGCACAGGAUGCACCGUAGUUUACUACACCGUAUUCUGUGAGUUGCGAACGGGUGAGUAACGCGUAGGUAACCUGCCUGGUAGCGGGGGAUAACUAUUGGAAACGAUAGCUAAUACCGCAUAAGAACAUUUACUGCAUGGUAGAUGUUUAAAAGGUGCAAAAGCAUCACUACCAGAUGGACCUGCGUUGUAUUAGCUAGUUGGUGAGGUAACGGCUCACCAAGGCAACGAUACAUAGCCGACCUGAGAGGGUGAUCGGCCACACUGGGACUGAGACACGGCCCAGACUCCUACGGGAGGCAGCAGUAGGGAAUCUUCGGCAAUGGGGGGAACCCUGACCGAGCAACGCCGCGUGAGUGAAGAAGGUUUUCGGAUCGUAAAGCUCUGUUGUUAAGGAAGAACGUGUGUGAGAGUGGAAA
rnacentral:rRNA from 1 species